UUCAGUGCUUCUGACCUCUCAGGAUGAGGUUGAAUGAAGACGGGAAUUAGAUCUGCUUGGAGACUAGAGCGCUCAAUACUGAAGCAGCGAGUUUUCCCCACUGCAAAUGUCACAGGAAGCAAGACUGAAGCAAGAUGGAGAGGAAUUAGGACACCGCCACCACCACUCAGAAAAUGCUACUUACAACAUGGCCCAUGCAUGCAAAUCCUGAGCCUUGAGAUUCUAAAGCCACCUUCAUAACACCACCUGCAUCCAACCCUUCAGCUGGGCCACGCGUGACAAAAAGCAAGUCCAAGUACUUUGCUGUGGCUGGAUGUCACCUUUAGUGCAGAGCCCAAGGUGAAAGAAACUGCUGCAUUAUGUAUUAAGAAGAGAAAUAAGAGAUACUGUAUGUUCAACUCUAUCCCCGAGUCAGCAGCAGCAGCUAGAUCAAUAUUAGCUAUCACCCUUCUACCAGAGAAGUGUAUUUAAUAGUAUGAUUUAACUACUAUAGUUAAUGUUCCCAUGACAACAAGGAAGAGGGGAAAGAGCUGGGGAAGGUGAGAAGGAGGCAAAUAAAAGUGAACAAAAACUGCUGAGAAGAAAGACAAUGACACAGAAGUAUUCUGCUUGGGCAGAGACUGCUGGGACAGGAGGAGCACUCUCCUGCCUCCAACCCCAGAUGCACUCAAGAGCAUUGCCUACACUCAGAGCAACACAG